CUGCAGCCCGAGUGGUGAUCGAUUUUAUUGAGCCUAAAGCGUCCGUAGCCGGACUAGUAAACCCUUGGGUAAAUUGGGCAGCUUAACUGUCCAAAUUCCGAGGGGACUGCUAGUCUUGGGACCGGGAGAGGUCAGAGGUACUCAAGGGGUAGGGGCUAAAUCCUGUAAUCCUUUGGGGACCACCAGUGGCGAAGGCGUCUGACUAGAACGGAUCCGACGGUAAGGGCCGAAACCCUGGGGCGCGAACCGGAUUAGAUACCCGAGUAGUCC
rnacentral:rRNA from 1 species